rnacentral:lncRNA from 1 species
GUAUGUGUGCCCCAAAAAGUCAAGAGAAAAUAUUAUUGCGAGUAAAUUGUUUUUUGUUCUUCUACCUUUGAGUUGAGAUUUUUGAGAAAAUUUCAACACAAUAUUUUUUGUUCAAUUUGUUCGCAGUUUUCAUUGAUCAAAGAGUUGAUAGUAAAGAUCGGUCUCGGUAUGAAUACGCAUAGAGUCUUCGCAUUAUCGAAGAAAACUCUGAAACAAGGCUCUCUUCACCAGGUACGUCUUAGAUCCGAUAUUUGACAUGUAAAUAAUUUUAAACAUGAUAAGUUCUGCCUAGGAUUGUUAUUGUCUUCCGCUGCAUGUUUUGAACACGAAUAUGCAAUCCAGCAGCAAUUGCUAGUCUUAAAUGGAAAAAAUGGAGGCGAGUCGAAUUCUCUUAUGAUAUUCCCUCACUGAGUUUAGAUGGGUAUGAUGGGAUUACAUUGCAUGGACGACUUCACUUUAGGAUGAGGGUCAGAAAAUCUUAUUUUGAUAGGAGAAACAGCCAAGAAGUCUACAAUUUAAUUUAUUUUGAUCCCAUCUUUGAAAAGUUCGAUACUUUUCCAAUCUGAGUCUAAGUCUGAUGAAGAAGAGAUUGUUAUAACUGGUUUGGGCGUUUUAAAUGAAUGUCUUUGUAUGACUUGUGAAUAUUCUUAAGGGUUUUGAGAUAUUAGUUAUGAAGGAAUAUGGAGUAAAGGAAUCGUGGACACCCUUAUUUUUCAUAAGGAAUUUUCUCUUUUUUGGAUUUGUUCUGCCCUUAACAGUGACAGAGAAUGGAGAAUUAGCUUUGAUAGUACGCAACCACAAAUGUCAGCAAGUUGUUAUAUACAAUCCUAAGAAUGACAAUAUUCGAGAAAUUCUUGUCCACGGAAAGACAUACUUAUUUAUAACAUAUGUGGAACAAAGCUGGAGUGAGAAGGAGCACAACAAGUUUGGAAAGCCGAUAAGGCUUUCCUAAUCCUUUUAGGCUUUGUUAGCAUAUAUGGUUUUUGGUCUGAUGGAUUUGAGAUUUUGAGUUUGAUUUCAUCCUCCUUUCUUUUAAGCAUAAUAAAGGAAGCACCAGAAUUUUGCUGCACUUUGAGUUACUCAGGAAUAGUGGUAGCUAUAGCUUGAAUUAUGUAAACUUCUUUUAAUGCGUGAAAUGAAAAAGAACAGUUUUUUGCCAACUAUUAGAUAAAUUUGAUAACUUUUGUAGUUACUUUAUUACUUGUCUGGUUUUUGGCAAUCUUCGAAUUACUGGAUCUUUCUUAAGAAUGCAUGGUGAUGACAACGAAUUUUAAGUUUUUUUGCUUAAUUUGUGUUGCUAUCUCUUCAUGGUUUUACUGUUGUAUAUAUUGGCCUAGAGAUUAUGGAUAGCGUGUGUUUGCCUUACAAACAUCUAUAGGGUAAAAUAUGCUAUGAACACGUAGAAUUCAAGACGGGGGAGAUGGCCAAAGAUCAAAGGCAACUGUUUCGUCUGUCACCGGAAAGAAUAAUGCUCAUAAAGAUAUGAUAAAUGCUCUUCGCUCGGUAGCAUUUAAUAGAGAAUAUUCCAGGAAAUUAAGAGUAAUUACCCAUUACAGGGAAUUUGGCAUUUAUGUUCACCGUUACAUCUUUAUCAACGUCCCUCAUAAUUGACAUUAAAGAAGGGCAUGAUCCUGGACCUCUUUCGUAGCUUUAAAUAGUGAGCUCAGUUGUCAUUGUAAAUGAUACGAAUUUUCUAGCAAACUUACGCUACAUUCUAUAUAAAGCUCAAUACAAUUUUAUCUUCUUACUUUUUGAUUUCUUGUUGUUGUGCCAAGAAACCAUGUUCCCGUAAAUGUUGUUUCUGUUGUUUCGUCUAUAUCCUAAUGCUAAGUAUUGCAUAAUUCUUCAAUUAUUUUAUUAUUUUAGGAUCAAAUUAAUUCAUUUAUCUAGAAAUCACGUAUAAAUUCAACUGUACCAUUUUAUGGGUAAAAUAAAACUUUACCAAAUAGUUAGGUUCAUUGCUUUCCCUUCUUUUAUAUGAGAUAUGGUUGGUUUCAUUCUAUACUGAAUACAUAGAUCAUUCUUGUGAAAAAAGGACAGGUCAGUGCCCAAAGCUAAGCAUCCCGCAUUCUCGUAGUGUUCGGGAAAGUCAUCCCAAGAGGUGUAAUGUAGGCAGCCUACCCUGAUAUAAGCAUCAAUGGCUAAUUCCACGGCUCGAACCUGCAACAUAUAGGUCACAUGGAGACAAUUUUAUCGUUGUUCCAAGGCUCCCUUCACAUAGGCCAUUCUUGUAUUAGUCUAAAUUCUGAUUCGUUAGAUAGAUCAUGUAAAAUUAAGAUGUGCUAUUUGGGUGUCUUUUACUGGCUCUUGUUGCUGAGCUCUACUACUUGUUAUGGUUGAAAAUUAGGAUUGCUAAAAGAGGUCUUGAAGAUGGUUACAAC